AUAUAUACCAAAAGCUCUUCCGAUGGAUUAUAUGUCGUUUUGCCCAAUAUUUCCGCGUUCCAUGGAACAUGUUUAAUAUCAAGAAACGCCAAUUUCCGAUCGGAUCACUGUCAGUUUCUGAGAACAGAUGAAGUCGUCUCUACGCCAUUGGAGGUGUCGCCCAGAGGACUAACUAGCAGCGUUUACAGAAAUUCAUUUUACAAUACCGGAAUGGAUAUUUUACCAGAGUCGGUUCAAUCGGUGUUAUGACACAACAGUUGAUUGUUAUAUUGUGUUUAAGAUAAACAAGGACCUGGGACAAUUAACAGUUCAGCAAUAUCCCAUGUUGGUUUAUAUAGGAUAAGCUCCGACGUUACCAGGUGUAGACAGGCAUAUCUCCGUCAUCAAGCUGUAGCUGUUGUGUUCAAAGAUGGCGGCAUACGCGUCCAAAGGAAGAAACGUUAGCAUGGUAGCGGCAAUGGAUAAGAUUGACACCCCGCGUUUAGUUAGUGGUGGUAUCACAGUUACGGCACCACAGGAGGAGAAACAACUUCCUGUCAUUGCUAUCGGAACGGUAACCUCCCUAGCCUUCAUCAUGCUCUUAUUCUUGAUUUUCUCCUUCUUUUGCUAUCACAGAAAACACAAACUCAAGAACAAGUCUCAUAAGCAGUAUGCUAAAGCGUCGCAUUCUCUCGAGCGAAGGAGGAUAGGAGCACCGACAAGCUUAUCACUUACGUUUACGUCACUGCCUCGAAACGAAGGACAAAAUUCGCAUGACGUCAUCACUAACUGUGUAGAGGAGACUGAAGAGGACGUCAAGUAUAUAGAUGAUGAUAGUUGUAUACAUUUCAUUGACAUGGAUCCGAUAAUAUUUCAUUACCACAAAGACUUGACAACACCACUUAUUCCAGAUAACAAACCUCUGGACCAACACGAAGCAUGACCAUUUGUCUGUGUCAUUGUGUGUAGUUGAACGUAAGGUCAAUAUCACAUGUUCACCACCUUUAAUAACUGUAUGACAUUAUUUAUUUAUAGGUCAUUUGCAGGGCCUAUAAUUGAUAUUAUCUUAUAUUUAAGUCGGGCUAAUGAACUGUCACUGCCUCUCUUGAAAAUUCUUAUGACGGAAUGAGAGGCCACUGGAUAUUCUCGACGAUUAUUGAUGAGAAUGAGAAUUAUUGUAACCUGAUCGCAAUGUAUGGUUAUCAAUUAUACAUUUUCACAAUUUCACAUCAUUAACACCAUAGUACUUUCCAUUAUGACAUAUAGUUCAUAUAUUAAAAUAAGUAGAUCAUCAUAAAUAGGAUAUCGGUUUUCCAUCGUUUGUCAUACAACUAUGAUACCGAUUUUUAAUUUAUUGGAGAAUUAAUUAAAAGUUAAGGAUAAACAAUAAUUUGACGUCAUAGUGCUAAUUUUGGUUGUUUACAAUAUCCUAUGUAUAGGAAUGUGGUUAGGACAUGGUCAUGUCUGUAAAUACACUAUGUCGAUUUAGUCACAUUCACAACCAAUCAGUGGACCAGAAAGGGCAUGUGAUACUUUGUAUAGUCCCGUAAAAGCUUUACCUUGCCUUUGUUCACCAACUAUAUACUAUAACGUAAAAGAAUUGCCAGUGUGAAACAGCACGUUGUAACUCCCAAUAUGGUGCUAACUUCGGUCAGCUUUGACGGAUGCAUUGCGUUAUCAAAGAGAUUGAACACUGUGUUGGCUAGCUUUUGAAAACAUCUGUAUCCUUUGUUAAUGACUAAGCAUUGACGACAGUUCAUCGUCGUUCAGUUUCGUUUUUAACGGUUUAUUACAGUAUAAUAUUGAUUUGGCCGUUAGUUUAGACCUAUAAAUUAAGCAUAUAAGAUAAGGGUAAGUACAGUGGUGCCAUGGUGACUUAUUUCAUUGGGAUCUAUCAUAUGUCUUUUCCGAGGAAACCGUUUUGUCCAUUGUUCAUUAAUAUCAUCAUAUUAAACUUAAUGUAUUUAAUGAGGAGGGCACGUGAUCUAGAUAUUAAUAUUAACUCGUAGGCAAACAGUGUAGCAUACAUGUAUGUUAGGGAUCAAAUGGAAUAGUAUGUAAUAAGGCUUGGUAGUAUCGAGUACGGUACUAUUCCCCGACACUUUGACGAAAUUAUAACUGCAAAUUUCCCAGACAACAGAUGUUUUAGAUAUUUCGUAUCAAAUAGCUCACGAAAGCUAUUUGCGUUUCAAUUUAAGACAAGUGAAUAAUUGAUUGAUGUCUGAAGAAGUCUAACUUGCUCGGCCUCUGUAUUUGUCUUGUCAUGUCUUGUACAGUACAUCUCAUUACAGUAGUAUUGAUAGUAAUAUUGUCCUCCGCCAUCUAAUGCUUGUCUAUGUCAUGAUAAUUAUGAAAAUGUUUGUACUGUUCCCUAUAUGCUUGUUUUGCAUUUGGAUGAAAUAAAAACUACAUGGUAUUUGUUACGUAAGUUUCGAUUUUACAAGCCGCCAUUCCUAGGAUAAUUAUCAAUGCUUUUAACCUGAUGUUAUUAAUUAUAUAUACCUCUACACCGUGGGUGUCAUUUGUUGGUGUUAAUCAUAUACAUUUCUAUACCGUUGGUGCCAUGUUAUAAUUUGUUAUGAUGAGCAGUAUAUUCAAACUUUGAAAUUUAGUAAAAACGUGUUAGAGGUUUCUUAUAGCAUGUCACUUAUAUUAAAGUAGCGCUAAGUUACUGGUUAAUGAGUUAUUGUAUGAUGUGAUGGCAUUUUAUCACUCUGUGUUAGACGGGUGUUUAUAUUACCUUUACAAACGGUUGAAUCGUAAAAAUUGCUACAAUUGCAGUAUUUUAGCAUUGACAACGAUAAUGAGCAUCAGAUCAAAUGCAAUUCAUAUAAUUUAGUUCCGUGGCGAAAAGGUGCAUAGUGGUACUGAAAAUAUACCGUGUUUUAUAUGUUUUGGAAAGAUCCCUGAACCUAGCUGUGUUAACAGCUUAGUUUGGAUUCUUAGAAGAAAAAAACUUCUAAUGUCUAAAACUUUCUGUGAAUAAGUGUGGUAAAAAUAACAGAAUACACAUGUCAACAUUUUUAUGAGUAAAAAUUUCAUAUACUCAACACAUCAGAAAGAGCCAGAAGUAAACCAAUGCUAAAGACGAUUGCAGCAUCAUCCAGUGAUGGACGUCGCAGGUUUACAAACCCCUGACUGUUAAUUGAUAAAGAGGACCAUAUUGUAUGUUGUAAGUGGUUCUCCGUGGAUAGAUCCGGAAUCGAGGACAUCAGAACUACAACAGGCCAGUCUUUACACUUCAACAAUAUAAAGGUGGUGAAGUAGAUGGAUUUGAUGAGAGUAAUUAGUUACCACUUGUUAAUGUAUCCAUGUAUUAUAGACGUCAAUCGUUUAUCGUAGGAUUUGGUAUAUUAGACACACAGUAAGAACAGUUGUCUCCCAUGGUACAUAUGUGUCGCUAGUGUAGUUGGUGCAGUUUAUUAUUGGUAUAGUGUAGUAUUCAUAACUAUCGUGUUGUAAAGUUACAUUAUAUACACGUGUUCUGCUAUUACACUGGAAUAAUGUUGUAGUUUGUAUCAUUAUCAAGGCAGCUUUGGAACAUAUAUCAUAUUAUAUGUGUAUAACUUAGGUAGUACAUCUGACCUCUCCACACUUUUGAUGUUAGGAGAGAAAUGUUUGUUACUUGUUUAUGGAAAUAAAACAUUUCUUCUGUUCCUAUGGA